ACCGCCUGCCCCCGACAGGCAGCUGCACCGCCGCUCUCCAAAGUCAGGAACCAAGUAAGUACAUUAGAAAAAAAAGCAGAAAAUCCAGGCAUGGCAAUUUUCCGCCGUUCCGCGGAAAUCCGUCGUUUUAAUUUUCAAAUUGAUAAUUUCUGUGAAUCGUCCAAAUACGUUGAGAAAAUUUUAGGGGAGGUGAGGUAUGUUUUUGUUACUCUUGCUCCCGGUUUUUGAGAAGCGCUCGGCGUUUCUCCCGCAGCGUAACAGACAAAAGCCGCGAUUCCACAAGCACCUACUCGGCGCGGUACGGUUCGCCACUAUUGUAUCUGACUCGGCUCGUCUCGGUUUAGUUGUUUUUCCAUAUAACCUCAUCGUGGGUGGAGUCGUCAUAGCGCAGCGAGCCGAAAGUCCCUAACGUCAUUUGCGUGCGACACAAACGCAACAUAAUGGAGACGAUGGUACACUUGCUGCUCGGUCUGUGGCUUUCUGUCAGAUUCAGAGUAAUAGAAGAGUCAUAGAAAGCUGAGAGCGGCGAGUCGAAACACUCUGGAGACACACAGGAGAGUUUGGGAGGCGAUGCAGCAGUAUCAAGCUGAAGACAAGAGGAUAUGAACUAGACGACAUAUGAGGAUGCUCUCUGAUGAGACUUCAUGGGAUUUACCUGAAGCAGCAGCACAUGAGCCUGCAGUGGCACAAGGUGUAGAGGAGGAGGACAGAGAUGUACAGGAUGCACUGAUGCACUACGUGUCAUGCAGAAGUUAAAAGUUAUUCUUCUUGUUAUACUUCUGUUUUUCUGUCCCGGACAGUUUUCUGUCCCGGACAGUUUUCUUUAAUGCAAUUCUGACAAACUUUUGUACCUUUUGCAGAUGUGUCUAUGCUAUUGUUUUAUUUGUGAAGGUUAGCAAGAUUACAUGACAAAUUAAACACCAAAACAUUAAAACAGCUGUUUUAAGAAUA